CCCGGCAGCCACCACACCCACCCUGCAUGGUGCCCUCAUCCCCCAGGCAUGGCCCAGGCCCGGCCCAGGCCCCAAUCUUCCUGCUUACCCCUUCUCUCAAACUCCUCUCCCCACCCCUCUCCCCUCCCCAGGCCUCUGCCAACUUUACUCUUUCUCCUGGAUCUCCCCAAACCUGGGCUGCCUGGGCUUCCUUGCCCAUCCCCCUCACUGCCCUCUCGGGAGCCAGUCCCCACCCCGGUCCCCCAGCCUCAGCACCUUCCAGGCUGCCCGGGAAUCCUCCCUUCUUGCUUCAAGCUGGGCCUCCAGUCUUGCCUCCCUCCCCUCACCCCACGCUGUCCAGGUGGACUUGACUUCUUCAGGGCGUGGUCUGCCUUCCCUUUGUCCUGUGUCCCUGUGAGUAGCCCCUGCCAGCCCCCAGUCUUGUGUCUCCCCACAGUCGCGGGCUCAACCCAGCCCACACAGCAGGUACCCAAUUAUGACCCAAGACCCCUGUCCCCUGGCCACGCCCCAUUACCUCUUUUCCCAGUCCCCCCUGCGUCCUUCUCCUGCUCUGCUCCUCGGAACCUGGCCCACGAUGCUCCCUGCCCCAGCCCCUUCCCUCCUCUCCUUUCCCACCCCCCUCUUCCCCUGCCUCCAUCCUCUUUACCCUCCUUGCCCCCCCCACCCCUGGUCCCCACCUCUGCCUGCACCGUCCCCACUGUCCACUCCGAUCUUGCUCCUCCAUCCUGGCCUUUGAGACAUGCCAUCGACAGCAGAAAUAUGGCGGCUGCCGCUUACCAUGCACUGUGUCAGGUUGAACAACUAGGUGUACGUCACCCUGGUUAACAACCUUCCCCGCGACCCCACAGUAACAGUAGGCACUGCUCUUAUCUUCCUGUUACAGAUAGGGAAACUGAGGCUCAAAGAGCCUAAACGCCUGCCCAAAGCCACACGCAUGGCGCAGGCAGGACUUGAACCCCGUUUAACCCCAGAGCCUCCACUCUUAACCUAGUAGCUGCUCAGCUUCACAGCUGACCUGAUCCUAUUGCUGUCUUCACCUAUUUUAACCCAGGAACGGGAUGUGUUACAGCAGCAGAUCUUCCCAUGUUACCCAGCAGGCCUUGGGAACCUUGGUUUGUCGGUCUCCAGAGCAGUUGGGGAGGGAACCCUUCCCAGGAGCAGGCACUAGGGGAUGCACUGUCUGUAGAUAUUAUCUGUAGAAAUAUUCCUUAAAAACUAAAAACCCCAGGUCUGCUCUUUAUAAUCACUUGCACUGACAAUUCUAACAACGUAUCACUACUCCUAGGUGGAAGGACACUCUCCGUGCCCCCACCCUUGGUAAACCACUGUCCCAUCUGGCCACCGUGCUGGUUUCAGAGCAAGUAGAAAGUGGCUCACAACCUGAAUUUAGCAAGACAGCGUUGGAUUUCUAUUUCUGGCACCUCCUCCAUAUUCCCUUAAAUGGCCUUUUUUGAGAGGUUUCCCUCUCCCCAGACUCCUCUUCCUCCUUCCCUGAUCCUCCUAACUUUCCUCAUUUCUCAGUUCGGUCACAUUUACUAUGAAUUUUUCAUCAAUAAAUUAAUUUUUCUUUAAAAAACAUUUUUUUUAAUGUUUAUUUCAUUUUGAGAGAGAGAGAGAGUGUAAGCAGGGGAGGGGCAGAGAGAGAGGGAAACACAGAACCUGAAGCGGGUUGCAGGCUGUGAGCUGUCAGCACAGAGCCCCAUAUGGGGCUCGAACUCAUGAACCGUGAGAUCAUGACCUGAACCAAAGUCGGAAGGUUAACCGACUGAGCCACCCAGGCACCCCAAUAAAUUAAUUUUUCAGUUAAUACAAUUAAUUGGAUAUUCAUGCUCAUAUUAAAAAAUAUAGGAAAGUAAUAAAAAGAAAUGUGUUUUUAAUGUUUAUUUAUUUAUUUUGAGAUAAAGAGUGUGAGCGGGGAAGGGGCAGAGAGAAGGAGAAAAAGAACCCUGAGCAAGUUCCACACUCAGCAUGGAGUCCGACAUGGCGCUUGAUCUCUGGACAGACCAUGACACACUGACCUGAGCUGAAAUUAAGAGUGUGAGGCUUAAGUGACUGAGUCCCCCAGUGCACCCAGUUAUGCCUUUUUAAAAAAGGCUGCAGGGUGUCCCCUUGCGGUAAUGUAUCAUAAUGUACUUAUUCAGUUUCCUAUUUAAAGACUUUAGGUUGGGGGUGCCUGGGUGGCUCAGCCACGUGAGGGUCCAACUUUGGAUCAGGCCAUGAUCUCACGGUUCGUGGGUUUGAGCCCGGUGUCAGGCUGUGUUCCGACAGUGUGGAGCCUGUUUGGGAUUCUCUUCCUCUCCCUCACUCUCUGCCCCUCCCCCACUCACACCUUUUCUCUCUCUCUCUCUCUCUCUCUCUCUCUCAAAAAUAAAUAAAGUUUAAAAAAAAAAAAGACAUUUAGGUUGUUGACACAACACAAA